GACGGAGGAUGCAAGCGUUAUCCGGAAUGAUUGGGCGUAAAGCGUCCGCAGGUGGCAGUUCAAGUCUGCUGUCAAAGACCGGGGCUCAACCUCGGAAAGGCAGUGGAAACUGAACAGCUAGAGUAUGGUAGGGGCAAAGGGAAUUCCUGGUGGAGCGGUGAAAUGCGUAGAGAUCGGAAAGAACACCAACGGCGAAGGCACUCUGCUGGGCCGACACUGACACUGAGAGACGAAAGCUAGGGGAGCAAAUGGG
rnacentral:rRNA from 1 species